GAGUUUGAUCCUGGCUCAGGACGAACGCUGGCGGCGCGCCUAACACAUGCAAGUCGAACGGGACUAUGCGAGAUGAAGUUUUCGGAUGGAAUUUUGUGUAGUUUAGUGGCGGACGGGUGAGUAACACGUGAGCAACCUGCCUUCGAGAGGGGAAUAACGGCUGGAAACGGUCGCUAAUACCGCAUAACAUACGGGAGGGACAUCCCUUUUGUAUCAAAGAUUUAUCGCUCGAAGAUGGGCUCGCGUCCGAUUAGGUAGUUGGUGAGGUAACGGCCCACCAAGCCGACGAUCGGUAGCCGGACUGAGAGGUUGAACGGCCACAUUGGGACUGAGACACGGCCCAGACUCCUACGGGAGGCAGCAGUGGGGGAUAUUGCACAAUGGGGGAAACCCUGAUGCAGCGACGCCGCGUGUAGGAAGACGGUCCUCUGGAUUGUAAACUGCUGUCCCCAGGGACGAAGAUGACGGUACCUGGGGAGGAAGCUCCGGCUAACUACG
rnacentral:rRNA from 1 species